CCUACGGGGGGCAGCAGUGGGGAAUAUUGCACAAUGGGGGAAACCCUGAUGCAGCAACGCCGCGUGAGCGAUGAAGGCCUUCGGGUCGUAAAGCUCUGUCCUAAGGGAAGAAUACUGACGGUACCUUAGGAGGAAGCCCCGGCUAACUACGUGCCAGCAGCCGCGGUAAUACGUAGGGGGCUAGCGUUAUCCGGAAUUACUGGGCGUAAAGGGUGCGUAGGCGGCCCUUCAAGUCAGAGGUGAAAGGCUACGGCUUAACCGUAGUAAGCCUUUUAAACUGUAGGGCUUGUGUGCAGGAGAGGGGAGCGGAAUUCCCAGCGUGGGCGUGAAAUGCGGAAGUUUUUGGGGGGACAACAGUUGGUAAGGCGGCUCUCUGCACUUUUACUUACGCCUAGGCAACAAAUGCUGGGGAGCGAACAGGAUUAGAUACCCUAGUAGUC
rnacentral:rRNA from 1 species